GGGCAGAUACCCAAGUGGUCAACGGGGACAGACUGUAAAUCUGUUGCGUUUCGCUUCGGAGGUUCGAAUCCUUCUCUGCCCA
rnacentral:tRNA from 2 species